rnacentral:rRNA from 1 species
GACGAACGCUGGCGGCGUGCUUAACACAUGCAAGUCGAACGGAAAGGCCCUGCUUGCCGGGUGCUCGAGUGGCGAACGGGUGAGUAACACGUGGGUGAUCUGCCCCUUAUUUUGGGAUAAGCCUGGGAAACUGGGUCUAAUACUGGAUAGGACCAUGCUGUAGGUGGUGUGGUGGAAAGAUUAGUUUCGGUAAGGGAUGAGCUCGCGGCCUAUCAGCUUGUUGGUGGGGUAAUGGCCUACCAAGGCGUCGACGGGUAGCCGGCCUGAGAGGGUGGACGGCCACAUUGGGACUGAGAUACGGCCCAGACUCCUACGGGAGGCAGCAGUGGGGAAUAGUGCACAAUGGGCGCACGCCUGAUGCAGCGACGCCGCGGGGGGGAUGACGGCCUUCGGGUUGUAAACUCCUUGCAGCCAUGACGAAGCCCUUGUGGUGACGGUAGUGGUAGAAGAAGCACCGGCUAACUACGUG